rnacentral:rRNA from 1 species
GGUCAAGUGAAGAAGCGCAUACGGUGGAUGCCUAGGCAGUCAGAGGCGAUGAAAGACGUGCAAGCCUGCGAAAAGUCACGGGGAGCUGGCAAAGAAGCUUUGAUCCGUGGAUCUCUGAAUGGGGGAACCCAGCGGCCAUAAGGCCGUUAUUAAAUACUGAAUCCAUAGGUAUUUAAGGCGAACUCGGGGAACUGAAACAUCUAAGUACCCGAAGGAAAAGAAAUCAACCGAGAUUCCCCUAGUAGUGGCGAGCGAACGGGGAGCAGCCCAAAAGUGCUUAUCGAUUUAGUGGAAGGCUCUGGAAAGUGCCGCCAAAGAGGGUGAUAGCCCCGUACACGAAAGAUCGAUAGGCAUGAACAACGAGUAGGGCGGGGCACGAGAAACCCUGUCUGAAUGUGGGGGGACCAUCCUCCAAGGCUAAAUACUCCUGACUGACCGAUAGUGAACCAGUACCGUGAGGGAAAGGCGAAAAGAACCCCGGCGAGGGGAGUGAAAUAGAACCUGAAACCGUAUGCGUACAAGCAGUGGGAGCCUUAACCCCUUAGGGGAGGGUGACUGCGUACCUUUUGUAUAAUGGGUCAGCGACUUAUAUUCAGUGGCGAGCUUAACCGGAUAGGGGAGGCGUAGCGAAAGCGAGUCUUAACAGGGCGUUAAGUCGCUGGGUAUAGACCCGAAACCGGGCGAUCUAUCCAUGGGCAGGUUGAAGGUUGGGUAACACCACCUGGAGGACCGAACCCACUACCGUUGAAAAGGUAGGGGAUGACCUGUGGAUCGGAGUGAAAGGCUAAUCAAGCCCGGAGAUAGCUGGUUCUCCUCGAAAGCUAUUUAGGUAGCGCCUCAUGUAUCACUGCUGGGGGUAGAGCACUGUUUCGGCUAGGGGGUCAUCCCGACUUACCAACCCGAUGCAAACUCCGAAUACCGGCAAGUGCGAGCAUGGGAGACACACGGCGGGUGCUAACGUCCGUCGUGAAAAGGGAAACAACCCAGACCGUCAGCUAAGGUCCCCAAGUCAUGGUUAAGUGGGAAACGAUGUGGGAAGGCCCAGACAGCCAGGAGGUUGGCUUAGAAGCAGCCAUCCUUUAAAGAAAGCGUAAUAGCUCACUGGUCGAGUCGGCCUGCGCGGAAGAUGUAACGGGGCUAAAACCAUGCACCGAAGCUACGGGUUUGAACGCACGUUCAAGCGGUAGAGGAGCGUUGUGUAGGCCUGCGAAGGCAGAUUGAGAAGUCUGCUGGAGGUAUCACAAGUGCGAAUGCUGACAUGAGUAACGACAAUGGGGGUGAAAAACCCCCACGCCGAAAGACCAAGGUUUCCUGCGCCACGUUAAUCGACGCAGGGUGAGUCGGCCCCUAAGGUGAGGCAGAAAUGCGUAAUCGAUGGGAAGCGGGUUAAUAUUCCUGCACUUCUGAUUGCUGCGAAGGAGGGACGGAGAAGGCUAGGCCAGCCUGGCGUUGGUAGCCCAGGUUUAAGGCAGUAGGCUGAGUAUUUAGGCAAAUCCGGAUACUUAAGGCUGAGAGCUGAUGACGGUGUCACUUAGGUGACCGAAGUGGUUGAUGCCCUGCUUCCAGGAAAAGCUUCUAAGCGACAGGCAAUCAGGAACCGUACCGCAAACCGACACAGGUGGUCGGGUAGAGCAUACCAAGGCGCUUGAGAGAACUCGGGUGAAGGAACUAGGCAAAAUGGCACCGUAACUUCGGGAGAAGGUGCGCCGGCUGGCGUGAAGGGCUUGCCCCGUAAGCGCUGGCUGGUCGAAGAUACCAGGCCGCUGCGACUGUUUAUCAAAAACACAGCACUCUGCAAACACGAAAGUGGACGUAUAGGGUGUGACGCCUGCCCGGUGCCGGAAGGUUAAUUGAUGGGGUUAGCCGCAAGGCGAAGCUCUUGAUCGAAGCCCCGGUAAACGGCGGCCGUAACUAUAACGGUCCUAAGGUAGCGAAAUUCCUUGUCGGGUAAGUUCCGACCUGCACGAAUGGCGUAACGAUGGCGGCACUGUCUCCACCCGAGACUCAGUGAAAUUGAAAUCGCUGUGAAGAUGCAGUGUAUCCGCGGCUAGACGGAAAGACCCCGUGAACCUUUACUGUAGCUUUGCACUGGACUUUGAACCUGCUUGUGUAGGAUAGGUGGGAGGCUUAGAAGCGUGAACGCCAGUUUGCGUGGAGCCGACCUUGAAAUACCACCCUGGCAUGUUUGAGGUUCUAACUUAGGCCUGUGAUCCAGGCUGAGGACCGUGCAUGGUGGGCAGUUUGACUGGGGCGGUCUCCUCCCAAAGCGUAACGGAGGAGUACGAAGGUGCGCUCGGGUCGGUCGGAAAUCGACCCAAGAGUAUAAAGGCAAAAGCGCGCUUGACUGCGAGACGGACAGGUCGAGCAGGUACGAAAGUAGGUCUUAGUGAUCCGGUGGUUCUGAAUGGAAGGGCCAUCGCUCAACGGAUAAAAGGUACUCCGGGGAUAACAGGCUGAUACCGCCCAAGAGUUCAUAUCGACGGCGGUGUUUGGCACCUCGAUGUCGGCUCAUCACAUCCUGGGGCUGAAGCCGGUCCCAAGGGUAUGGCUGUUCGCCAUUUAAAGUGGUACGCGAGCUGGGUUCAGAACGUCGUGAGACAGUUCGGUCCCUAUCUGCCGUGGACGUUUGAGAAUUGAGAGGGGCUGACCUUAGUACGAGAGGACCGGGUUGGACGAACCUCUGGUGUACCGGUUGUCAUGCCAAUGGCAUUGCCGGGUAGCUACGUUCGGAAGCGAUAACCGCUGAAAGCAUCUAAGCGGGAAGCGUGCCUCAAGAUGAGUUCUCACUGGGAGUCAAUCCCCUAAAGGGUCGUCGAAGACUACGACGUGGAUAGGCAGGGUGUGUAAGCGCUGUGAGGCGUUGAGCUGACCUGUACUAAUGGCCCGUGAGGCUUGACCCU